rnacentral:rRNA from 1 species
AUGGCAACAUCACAUAUGAUCACCAUCGUCUUCUCCGCCAUCGUCUUCAUGCUUCUUUCCCCGGCCAUCGCUGCUCAGAGCAGCGGCGACGUCGGUGGCAAGAAGCCCAAGCCGAACGACUUCAUGGUGGAAGCGUGCAAGAACGCCUCGGCCAACUCCCUCGUAUACGACGAAGGGUCCAACAACGUGACCCAGGAAUUCUGCAUCUCGACCCUCCGGUCCGACAACCGGAGCGCGGACGCCAAGAACCUCCGCGACCUGGCGCUCAUCCCGGUCGACAUCCUCAAGGAGCGCGUCGUCAUCGCCGGCGGCAACGUCAAGGAGAUGCUGCACAAGACCAAGAACAGCACGUCGCCGAUGGCGCGCAAUCUCAGAAUCUGCGAGCUGGGGUACGGCGCCACCGUGGGCAUGUUGAACUUAUGCGGCACCUUCCUGAGGGACUACGAGGGCGACAACACAAGCGAGGACUAUGACGGGCCGCUAUCUUUCGAGCUAUACGACUGCGUCGACGACCUGAACGUCUGCGACUACUGUGGCCGCGACACGCUUCUUCGUAUGCCGGGCGCAGAGGCGCUGGUCAGGGAGAAGGAUGAAGUGCACAUGCUGAUCAAUCUCGGCAUGGCCUUGCUAUCGCCGUAUAGAUUGGAGAAAUGUUGA